AUCUUCUCACGAAGAAGAAGAUCAAGAACAACCUACAGAACCCACAGCUUUGCCCUCAAAACCCAGUUCUUCCUCUUCCUCUCUGUUUUCUUCUCUACCCAAAUCCAAACCCCAAUUUCGUCUCUUUUCGAAUCCCUUUUGCAACCUAAACAAACCCAAACAAAACCAUCUUUUCUGAAUAUGACAGCAUGUGUUGGCAUUAGGUGGCCACUGUUUGAGCAUUUUGGUCCAAUUUUGGGGGGUUUUGAAGUCUGGGUUUACAUGCCCUUUUCAAGAACAGCUUCUCCAGAAAAUGAAUUGUUGGGAAUAUGUAAGUUUUGAUGUUAAAUUGAACUAACUACGCAUCUUCUCACGAAGAAGAAGAUCAAGAACAACCUACAAAACCCAUAGCUUUGCCCUCAAAACCUAGUUCUUCCUCUUCCUCUUUGUUUUCUUUUCUACCCAAAUCCAAACCCCAAUUUCGUCUCUCUUCAAAUCCCUUUUGCAACCUAAACAAACCCAAACAAAACCAUCUUUUCUGAAUAGGACAGCAUGUGUUGGCAUUAGGUGGCCAUUAUUUGAGCAUUUUGGUCAAUUUUUGGGAGUUUUGAAGUCUAGGUUUACAUGCCCUCUUCAAGAACAGCAAUCGUAUUGUGAUUUUAUUGCGGUUGUAUUGUAGUCGUAUUGCUUUUGUAUUGCUAUGGUG
rnacentral:lncRNA from 1 species